CCGAGAGUGGUGAAACGGUAUAUACAGGGGACUUAAAAUCUCCCGCUUAAAUGCAUGAGGGUUCGAAUCCCUCCUCUCGGACCA
rnacentral:tRNA from 1 species